ensembl:lncRNA
CUUACAACCCAUGAACCUUUUGGUUGACAUUUUAAAGUUCUUGCUAUUUUCAUUUUUCUGAGAUUAUGUUUUCUUUUUCAUGAUUUAUAGAUAUAUAUUUUCACCAGAAUAUUGAUGCUAAAAAGGUGGUCAUUUGCAACAAGGAGCAGCUUGGGAUCAUUGGAAAGGCUGUACAAUUUCCAGAAUUUAAUCUAGUCACAUCUCCAUCUCCUCAUUCCAUUUUGGGACACCCAUUGUCCUUCUGAGGUAGCUUGGUAAUGCAGAGGAUCAGCACUUAUCCGGGAGUCAGGAAGAUCCGAAUUUGAAUCCAAUCUUGGAUGUUUAGUAACUACAUAAUACUGGUCCAUUAUGUGAGGGCUAUUUUCUGCCCCAGAAGAGGCUGUAUAUAUUCCUACAACACAUUUUGCAGCCUUGAGCAAAACCAGCUACACAAGGAACCUACUGAAGAAUGUUGCACAAGAAGGGAAAAGACACACCUCUAA